rnacentral:misc_RNA from 1 species
GAUGAAGAACGUAGCGAAAUGCGAUAAGUAAUGUGAAUUGCAGAAUUCAGUGAAUCAUCGAAUCUUUGAACGCACAUUGCGCCCGCCAGUAUUCUGGCGGGCAUGCCUGUUCGAGCGUCAUUACAACCCUCAAGCACAGCUUGGUGUUGGGACUCGCGUUAAUUCGCGUUCCCCAAAUUGAUUGGCGGUCACGUCGAGCUUCCAUAGCGUAGUAGUAAAACCCUCGUUACUGGUAAUCGUCGCGGCCACGCCGUUAAACCCCAACUUCUGAAUGUUGACCUCGGAUCAGGUAGGAAUACCCGCUGAACUUAAGCAUAUCAAUAAGCGGAGGA